rnacentral:rRNA from 1 species
ACUCGUAGACUCCUACGGGAGGCAGCAGUGGGGAAUAUUGGACGAAGUGGGGGAACCCCUGAUCCAGCCAUGCCGCGUGUGUGAAGAAGGCCUUUAUGGUUGUAAAGCACUUUAAGCGAGGAGGAGGCUACUGAGACUAAUACUCUUGGAUAGUGGACGUUACUCGCAGAAUAAGCACCGGCUAACUCUGUGCCAGCAGCCGCGGGUAAUACAGAGGGUGCGAGCGUUAAUCGGAUUUACUGGGCGUAAAGCGUGCGUAGGCGGCUUUUUAAGUCGGAUGUGAAAUCCCCGAGCUUAACUUGGGAAUUGCAUUCGAUACUGGGAAGCUAGAGUAUGGGAGAGGAUGGUAGAAUUCCAGGUGUAGCGGUGAAAUGCGUAGAGAUCUGGAGGAAUACCGAUGGCGAAGGCAGCCAUCUGGCCUAAUACUGACGCUGAGGUACGAAAGCAUGGGGAGCAAACAGGAUUAGAUACCCUGGUAG